ACUCAAAGGAAUUGACGGGGGCCCGCACAAGCGGUGGAGCAUGUGGUUUAAUUCGACGCAACGCGAAGAACCUUACCUGGGCUCGAACGGCUUCUCAACGGGUCUGGAAACAGAUCUAUCCCGCAAGGGAGUGGAGUCGAGGUGCUGCAUGGCUGUCGUCAGCUCGUGUCGUGAGAUGUUGGGUUAAGUCCCGCAACGAGCGCAACCCUUGUCCUGUGUUGCUAAUCCGCAAGGAUGCACUCUCAGGAGACCGCCAGGGAUAACCUGGAGGAAGGUGGGGAUGACGUCAAGUCAUCAUGGACUUUAUGUCCAGGGCUACACACGUGCUACAAUGGGCGGUACAAACCGUUGCAAACCCGCGAGGGGGAGCUAAUCGGAGAAAACCGUUCUCAGUUCGGAUUGCAGGCUGCAACUCGCCUGCAUGAAGCUGGAAUCGCUAGUAAUGGCAUAUCAGAACGAUGCCGUGAAUACGUUCCCGGGCCUUGUACACACCGCCCGU
rnacentral:rRNA from 1 species